AAUGCAAGUCGAMGAGGUCCGAGGGAGCUUGCUCCCUGAAGACCUAGUGGCGAACGGGUGAGUAACACGUGAGAAACCUGCCUCGGAGUGGGGAAUAACUCGGGGAAACUCGAGCUAAUACCGCAUACCUUCACACGAUCGCAUGGUCGAGUGAAGAAAGAAUUUCGCUCUGAGAGGGUCUCGCGGCCUAUCAGCUUGUUGGUGGGGUAACGGCCCACCAAGGCAACGACGGGUAGCUGGUUUGAGAGAACGAUCAGCCACACUGGGACUGAGACACGGCCCAGACUCCUACGGGAGGCAGCAGUGGGGAAUCUUGCGCAAUGGGCGAAAGCCUGACGCAGCAACGCCGCGUGCGGGAUGACGGCCUUCGUGGUUGUAAACCGCUUUCAGCAGGGACGAAAAUGACGGUACCUGCAGAAGAAGCCCCGGCUAACUACGUGCCAGCAGCCGCGGUAAUACGUAGGGGGCAAGCGUUGUCCGGAAUCAUUGGGCGUAAAGAGCUCGUAGGCGGUUCAGUAAGUCGGGUGUGAAAGCUCCGAGCUCAACUCGGAGAGGCCACUCGAUACUGCUGUGACUAGAAUCCAGUAGGGGAGUGUGGAACUCCUGGUGUAGCGGUGAAAUGCGCAGAUAUCAGGAAGAACACCAGCGGCGAAGGCGGCACUCUGGGCUGGUAUUGACGCUGAGGAGCGMAAGUGUGGGUAGCAAACAAGAUUAGAUACCCUGCUAGYCCACACCGUAAACGUUGGGCACUASGUGUGGGGAGGAUCAACCCCUUUCCGUGCCGUAGCUAACGCAUUAAGUGCCCCCGCCCUGGGGGAGUAACGGCCGCAAG
rnacentral:rRNA from 1 species